GUAGUGACUAUUCCCACACUUAUGGGGCACGGAGAGCCUCUAUGAUCACCCUGUUUUACUACAUUCUCCUUCCUGUGGUUUGCUUUAGUGCCUCAAGGUUCUGUUGAGUCGUGAACUAAGCUGUGUCCUUAUCUUGGUUUCUGACCCUGAGAUGUGGGGUCCCUAGGGACAUAUCUCUGCCCCCUUCUAAUCUGUAUCCUUCACUGCUCCAAGGCCACAGCUCCAGAAACCCCACUUCUGAGCCAUACCAGCUCACACCAGGACCUCACUUCCUAGUUUCCCCAGGGCGCUCUCUCAAGCACUCCUGCUUUGGGACAAAGAGUCAGAGCUUCCUAGAGUCCAGCCAAGCCCAGGACAGCAGAGGCAGGUGGCAGUUGUCCUCCUGCCUCAAACAAAAGCAAUCAAGCCAUCAUCCUGAUUUCUUUUUAAAUCAAUUCCCAUGACAAAUGUGUCUGUGAAAGAGGGCUGGCUGCCUCCGGGCGUUCACCGCUUCAAUGAGGACAACAGAAGGAGCAGGAUUCAUAAAACUAUAAUGUGUUAUUUGAACAGAUUUCCCGGUAACCUGACCCUGUAGUCUUAGAAUCGGCUCAGCCUUCACCAGGUCCAGAUGGAGCCUCUCUGUAGCCUCCUCAGGGGACAGGAGCAGCUCUGUGUGCCUGAUUGACCAGGGGACACUUGUAUGGAGGGGAUCAGAGUGGUUGGGAGCAGCGGACAGGGGUUCUGGGUGCUUCCUCUAGCACUGGGAGACCCGGCUUGUCUGAUCAGGUUUUCUUGCUCAUGUGUUGAGCCUGUGACCGAUCUCCCUCUGUGACAAGAGUAUACACGAUGAACAUAAACCUUAACACACCAUGGGAGCUGUAUGUGAACUGUGCCAGGCUCCUGUGGGAGCACAGUGAGGCAGGCUGGGAGCUGUCACCAGUCUGUCCUAAAGAGAAUCAGAGCCAAAUGAAGCUAGCCACACUUUAGACUUGACCUCCAAUGAGGUCACCAGGCAAACGGCUGGAAUGGUCCAGACAAUGGGAAAUUCCAAGAAGUGUAAGCACCCAAGACCCAAGAGUUAAUGGAAGCCUAGCACUAGGCAGGCGAACCUGAGCUGUGACUGUCAAGACCAGCGGUCACUUUGGGCUCAGGCGGAUAAUGCAUGGGAAUACAAACCCAGGGGGACUGGCCCCUAAUGGCCAUUGUAGACUUUGUCCUUUCAGUGCCCAGCAGCGACCAUGUGCUGGGGCUCUGCUGCCCACACUGGAAGAAGCAAAGAAAGCAGCUGAAAUGCCAAGAACAGUCUGUCUCUACUGAGGCUCACCUUAAGGAGAAGCUUUCUGAUUGAAUCCUUGGACCUGUCGGGUUGGUCCCCAAUCACUCUCUAGAGAGUAACCUCUGAGGUGCGUGUGGGAGCUCAUACCUGCAAACCUCCCCCCCUUCUCCACGCCAGCAAGCUGGGGCAGGCAGCUUGUCAUACGUUUCAGGCCAAUCUGGGUUACAGAGGGAGACUCUGCCUUGAAGCAAAAGCAACAAAGCGAGGAAUGUCUUCAGGCAGUACCCCUCACUUGUCUGUGAUCACUUUUGGUGUGAGGGAGAGUAUGGGGCAUUCGUUGCCUGGCUUUCUCUCUGAGGAACUGGCAGUAACUGGGUCACCUUGCCUGUCAAGAAGCAUCCCUCACUGCGGACCCCACUCUCCCUGGACUCCUGCAAACUUUCCAGGGCUGUUCUAACAAGAUAUCAUCAACAACAUGCCUGGGAAUAGAGAUGAUUUCGGGUGCUGGUUUUGGUUUUACCUUCGCUAAAGUGGAGAGAAGAUUCGCACAUGUGCCUGCCUAUUCCACCAGGCCACUGAACCCCACAGACAAGGGACCAGCGGGGCCACACUCCAUCCGAAAGCUAUCAGGAGACCUCACCUUCAAUAACUCCCAGAGUUCACUGACUCCUUAUUAUAGCAUAGUGAGCUGUGAGGAGAACGCUCUCUCACUUCUGCCGGUGUCUGGGGGCUUACUGGCCACCCGUGGUAUGCUUCCAUGUUUCUCACUUGUAGAAGUGGCAUUUCAGAUUGUUGUCAUUGUCAUGUACUGUUCUGCUGGCCUCUGUCCAUCUCAAUGUCUAUUCUGAGGACACCAGUCACACGGAUACAGAUCUGCCCGCUCCAGCAUGAAUGACCUCAUCAGAAACACAGUGGCAACAACUUUAUCUCCAAAUAAAGUCAUGUCACGAGACACUGGGGUGAGGGUUUGAAAAGAUCACCUUGGGGGACACAUUUCAAACCUGAUCUACAGUUGCUGAAAACCCCUGUCCCCUCAAAGGCUAUAGCAAUGGCUAGUGUCAACACUGCCAGCCAAUUGCAAGAUGCCACAGGGAAGGGUUGUGUUGGCAUCAUUGUCCUUUGAUCUGAGAGCCGAAACAAAAUGCAGUACACGUUCAGUAAAUGCUUCUUGACGCUGUUGGUGACAGUGUCUUGCUUGUCCUGGCUCAGUCUCAAGAUCUAGCCACAAAGCUGCUCCUCAGCACACGGUCUACCCAGGGCCAGUUUCUCAGGGUCCUUGUGGUCUGGUCUUCAGUUGAACCCUGACAUCACCGACUCCUUCAUCAUCAGUCCUGGGAGAGGUCAGCCCCCCGACCCUCAAUGAGACCCUUACUUUCAGUGUGACAGCUAUUUUACCCGGCAGUAGGCAAACAGAGAUAUUUUAAGAUGAGUGUGUCAGCUGGGGUCAGUUUCCGCUUGGCUAUCGCUGGUGCUGUCAGGAGGAGAGCGGGUUUGGCUGUCCGGAGGGAACCCAUCAAUCACUCCUGACAGCCCUUAAUCAGACAAAGGAGCCCUCACCACCGUGUUACAGAGAGGGAGAGACUAUAGUAUUGUUCAAGCUCAACAAAGAAUUUUGGACAGGAAUUUUAAGUUGUAAAUACAAUCUCUCUGUCUUCCAAGCAUUUAGAUCCCUAAAGCCUCAGGUCCUCUCAGGUCUGAGGACCUUCUACUCUUUAUUCUAGGAAACUGGCCUCUUUAUUCAAAGACAGACAGACAGAUGCACGCACGCACACACACACACACACACACACACACACACACACACAACAUUCACUGGUCUCCUCUGAUAUACUAGGUGCUUUGGGCAGUGUAUCAAGAAGCCUGUGGUCUUGGGCCAGCAAGAUGGCUAAGUGGGUAAAGGUGCUUGCCACCAAGUCCAACAACUUAAGUUCAAUUCCCAGCUUACACACGAGGAAUGAAAGUUGUCCUCUGACCAUAACACUGAAUCACUGAUGCUGUGGUACAUGCGUACACAUUCAUCUCUCUCUCUCUCUCUCUCUCUCUCUCUCUCUAACACACACACACACACACACACACACACACACACACACAGUGAAUAAUAUAAAUAAAAUUAGGAAAAACACCCAUUAAAAGGAGGCCUAUGGUUCUUAAUGGAAGCAAAAGGCUCAUGAACAAAAAGGCCCCAAGCUACAUGAGCAGCCCUGGCGCUAAGGUAGCUCAGCGUGUUGGGGAAACCCAGAGGGGUCUCAGCCAAACCCACUUGUUUGCACCUUCGUCUGACUGCUUUUAUUCUUGCAGGCCCGGGACAGUGGCAGGCGGCAUGAGACACUGCAUGGCUUGGGGGAACAAAUCUUUUGUUGCAUUAACGCUUUUCAUCCUCCACCUUGAACGAGGCAGAUGCUCCCUGCAGAGCUGUCGACUGAAUAAAGAAAUGAGUUUAAUGAUCA